ACGCUCGACACCUACGGGAGGCAGCAGUGGGGAAUAUUGCACAAUGGGGGAAACCCUGAUGCAGCGACGCCGCGUGAGCGAAGAAGUAUUUCGGUAUGUAAAGCUCUAUCAGCAGGGAAGAUAAUGACGGUACCUGACUAAGAAGCUCCGGCUAAAUACGUGGCAGCAGCCGCGGUAAUCUGAGCGGGCUGGCAAGGC
rnacentral:rRNA from 1 species